rnacentral:rRNA from 1 species
UGCAAGUCGACGAUGAAGUAUUCUUCGGAAUGCGGAAGAGUGGCGAACGGGUGAGGAACACGUAAGAAUCUGCCCCUCGGGCGGGGACAACUCUUGGAAACGAGAGCUAAUACCCGAUACGCUGUGGAGUGAAAGAAUUUCGCCGAGGGAUGAUCUUGCGUCUGAUUAGCUAGUUGGUGUGGUAAUGGCAUACCAAGGCGACGAUCAGUAGCUGGUCUGAGAGGAUGGACAGCCACAUUGGAACUGAGACACGGUCCAAACUCCUACGGGAGGCAGCAGUGGGGAAUUUUCCGCAAUGGACGCAAGUCUGACGGAGCGACGCUGCGUGAAGGAUGACGGCCCGCGGGUUGUAAACUUCUUUUCUCGAAAAAGAAACAAAUGACGGUAUUCGAGGAAUAAGCAUCGGCUAACUCCGUGCCAGCAGCCGCGGUAAGACGGAGGAUGCAAGUGUUAUUCGGAAUGAUUGGGCGUAAAGAGUCUGUAGGCCGUAUAGAAAGUCUUUUGUUAAAUGCCUCGGCUCAACCGAGAUCCAGCAAAGGAGACUUCUAUACUUGAGGGAAGUAGAGGUACAGGGAAUUCCCGGUGGAGCGGUGAAAUGCGUAUAUAUCGGGAGGAACACCAAUAUGGCGAAGGCACUGUACUGGGCUUUUCCUGACGCUGAGAGACGAAAGCUAAAGGAGUGAUUAGGAUUAGAUACCCUAGUAAUUUUAGCCGUAAACGAUGGAAACUCACUGCCGAGCGAAAUACAACGAGCGGUGGUCAAGCUAACGCGUGAAGUUUCCCGCCUGGGGAUUACGCUUGCAAAAGUGAAACUCAAAGGAAUUGACGGGGACCCGCACAAGCGGUGGAGUAUGUGG